UACGUAGGGGGCAAGCGUUGUCCGGAUUUAUUGGGCGUAAAGAGCGUGUAGGCGGCCGGACAGGUCCGCUGUGAAAACUCGAGGCUCAACCUCGAGAUGUCGGUGGAAACCGUCUGGCUAGAGUCCGGAAGAGGAGAGUGGAAUUCCUGGUGUAGCGGUGAAAUGCGCAGAUAUCAGGAAGAACACCCGUGGCGAAGGCGGCUCUCUGGGACGGUACUGACGCUGAGACGCGAAAGCGUGGGGAGCGAACAGG
rnacentral:rRNA from 1 species